CAUGGUCGAAGUCUGAUGGAGCACGCCGCGUGAACGAUGAAGGCUUUCGGGUCGUAAAGUUCUGUUGUAAGGGAAGAACAAGUGCCGCAGGCAAUGGCGGCACCUUGACGGUACCUUGCGAGAAAGCCACGGCUAACUACGUGCCAGCAGCCGCGGUAAUCAUCCACAAUACCUUUUCGUCCUUUGUGGAAGCUUCCCAAAAGCUGCCUCCCGUAGGGAGCGAAUUCAGAUACCAAGGAUAAACAUUCCAAGGCACGCACUGAGAACGAUCUACGG
rnacentral:rRNA from 1 species